GGGGGGACGGCGCUUUCGUCCCCAGCCUCACGAGAUCGGGAAGGGAUUCCCGCACCCACGCUUGUGAACCUCGCCGCCGUCUCCUCUGCCUUCAUGACCCCGCCGCCGCCCGUCCCCUGCUCUUCCUCGCGCACCCACCGUCGCCUGUCCCCUCCUCUUCCUUGCGCACCCGCCGUCGCCGCCUCCUACUCGCCCUCGCGCAUUUGAGGCCAGCUGCGGAACGAGGUCGGACGGCGGAGACGAGGUCGAGGUCUGCGGCCUCCUCAGCUUGCGCAAGGCGGCCUCCUCGGCGACUCGUGCACGGCGGGGCAGCUGCGGACGAGGUCGGACUGCAGGGACAAGCUCGCUGUUGCCUCCUCAGCUGCUUCUCAAGGACAACUAAUAUCACUUCCCGACACCUCAUCGUUCCGACAACCUUCGGUUCUCAAGAAGUGAAUCUUGCAUUCUUGUAUCACCGAUCCGACAACCCCCGACGCCUCACUGCAGGUGCAAAACGGCAACGACGAGCCUAUCCACGUUGUCAAAAAAACACAUCGUCCGAUCGGCAAUCAUCGCUUGAUCUCUCCUGUCUCGCUCUACCCUUCCCUCCGUCUCAGGAUACUUCACCCUGUCUCUGGAUCAAUGUUCAAAAAAGCGUGCUUAAGCGCCGGCCUAAUCGUGAUUAGGCGCUAAGCGAUGCCUUAGCGCGGCGCUUAUGCCAUAGGUGUUGUUUUCCGCAGUGGGCGCGCGUAGGCGACGCUUAAUUUGCGCUCUACGCGCUAAAACGGAAAAACGUGCGUGGAAGCGGGAUUGGGCGCAUGGAAAAGCGCAUAAAAGUUUAAAAGGCACGCGGGAGGUGGGAGCUGCUACUGCACGUGAGAGAAGGGAAACUGGGCGAGAGCUGUUGCGUAGGAGAGGAGGGAAACGACGGGAAAGAAAGAGCUCGUGGAAGCUGCGGCUGCCCUCUUCCCCAGUCGACCAGUUCUGCCGUCGCCGCCUGUCCGUUUGUCCUCUUUGGCUCUUCCUGUCUUCCCCGGUCGCCGCCCACCAGGGUCAGUGACGUUAUAGUUCUGUUGCUCUUCCAGUCUUCUAGUCUCCCCCUUUUCUAUUUAUCUGUUGCUCCUCCAUCUCCUCUGUUCUAUUCUAUGUUUAAGACGGAUGCUUUGACUUGAAAGCUUAAUUAGUACAUGCACAUGCUUUGUAUAAGAUGCCUUCAUCUGAGCCUAGCUAAAACUCCUGAUUCCUAGCUAAAACUGUUUUUCUGUUGCAACUAUAUAUAUAUAUAUAUUAUAUUUUAUAUUCCUAUAAACGCUUAAGCACGAUUAAUCUACGUUUAAGCUCUCUAGUCGCUAAGCAGUAGCUUAACGCCUGCCUAACGCCUAGCGCUUAAUAUAAGCUUGCUCUGGAUACUUCCGUUUGAUACGACGCUUGGCGAGUGGACGUCUCCCCUCGCUUCUUUACCCUUCUGCCUCAUCUUUCUUCCUACUCGCUCCCUCCGCGUCGUCCUUCUCCCGGCGCGGGAGCAAAGCCCACCGACGUCCGCUAAGUCAUGGCACCAUCGCCGUCGGGAGCAGCGACUGUGGUUCCUCAAUGUCCCUGCUCCCCUGCGCGCUUUGUCCCAGGGUUGUGUGGUGGGGAAGGAGAAAAGGUACCAGUGGAAGAUGGCGCUGCCGCAACGACGAAGAUGGGAGCGGUCAGCCAUGGAGUGGGAUGUGCAGAGGCGGAGGUGAGAUAACCAGAGCAGAAGAUGUUGAACGGCUUCUUCUCCAUCCCAUUUCCCUUCGUUUGCCUACUCCCUUCCACCGCAUACGGAUAGGCCCUCAAGGUGAUUUUCUUCUCCUCCCCAUACCAAAUCCUAGGUCCUGAAGCAUCUACAGGGGAACGAUAGUACGAUCAGCUGGGCAAGGUCAUAGGUCACGUCUAGCUUCGACGGAUUAGAUGAGGAAGCCGCAGCAGACCUUGGCCUGAACAUGAUGUCUGAUCCGAAGCUCGCGCUUAGGAAUGAAAAACUAAAGCAAGCUGCCAGUUGAAUGUAACCCGCAGAACCACAAAAUGCGGCAACAUUUGUGGAUAGACUUCAGAUCGAGACUUCAAAGGUUUUUUGUUUCAUAGAGCUGGGACAAACAUCAUAAUAUUUGAUUGGCUACUCAGUUACUAAAAAAUAUGCAUGCUAACUUGACCGUUGAGACAGAAACUUCUGUUUUUGGUAAUGAAGGCAUUCAUCGUGUCGUUCUUUGUGCAGAAUUUAAUCUUCACCAUUCGUAUGGGCUGUAGGACACUAGGUCUGUAGCAAAAAUAUGUAUGAAAUUAGAUACUAUAUAUGCCAUGAUCUUUCACCGAUUGUAGAACCAUGAAGGGAUACAAUAUAUAAGCUAAAAUUUUAGAAAAUGCUACAUCUACGGUUGCCAAGGAAUUCUAGGUACAUCAACCUUUUGAAUAGUAUGGGUCCUUGCACGCUAAUGUGGUGAUGGUUGUGGUGGCUGUGACUGCAAGCUGAAGGACUUCAUGUCGCACAUACACAUGCGGGGCACGGGACUUUGCUAGGAGUGGGAGUGAUUUCAUGGCCAGCGACAGUCAACAGAGGUAAUGCAUGGUGUGGAUUGUGACAUAAUGUGGCUCCAACGGGAUUUGUACAUCUACACAUGCAAUCUUUUUUGAUACAUGACAUAUAUUUUUAAAUUAGGGCCAAUAAUACCAGGCUUCAAGGUUCUUAUGGAUGGAGAGAAGAUACCAAAAUAUAAACUGGAGGUUGAAGCCACUAUCUGAUGAAAUGAUCAAGUGUUGCGCAUAUAAAUCAUGUUUUGAUUUUUUUUCCAUUGUGUUUGGUUUUGGAUAUUUUUUGUUUGCAAUUAUUCUUUAUUGUCAGACUAUAGGUCAAGGCCACUUCCUGAUGAAAUGAUCAAGUGUUUCACAUAUAAACCAUAUUCUAAAAUUCUUCUCUAUUGUGUUUGGUGUUGGAUAUAGUUUUUUUUGUUUGCUCCUUUUUUAUUCCUAACUUGCCAUCAACUAUAUGUAAGUGAUUUUACUUCUGCCCAUGUACGCUAGAGAACAUACACACUGUCUGUUGUACAUAUUUGACUUAAUGAGACAGACUACCGAGGGAGUCAACAUUUGAAAAUGAUCUUCUAGAGGUACAAAAAUUUGUAGUUUUAUGUGCAUAUCAAGUUACUGAACUAUAUUAUUACAGGUUGCAGGAACAUGAACUGGAUGCAAAACAGCUAGCUCUUGUUGCUGAUGCUCAUAAAAAAUGGUCCACACUGCUCCUUGGCACGGGCCGCGGAUGUGCCAUGCCGCGGUGGCGGACCCUGGGAAGCAGGAGCACCGGCGGCGGCGGCGCCGUGGCAACAGAGCAGACGUAGGCAGGCGUGGGAGACGUUGGCCAUGGUGACUGCGCUCGCCAAGGUGGUUGCCAUGACGGCUCCGGCCGGCUAAGGGACCCGGUGGCUCCGGACCACGGCCGGCCCUGAGGGGGUGCGGCGGGUGCGGCCGCACCGGGCCCCCAAAAACAGAGGGCCCCUCUGGCCACUAGACGUUAGCAUUUUUUUCCCGAUAAGCAUAUCUACCAUAUACAUAAAUACGCAAGAGCGAUGCACUAUCGAUCAGUUUCGUUUAGAUUGUUAAACUAAUGUCUCAAUUACUUAUCUAAUAUUCACUUCGUUCCAAAAUAGUAUUUGUUUUAACUCUUGAUUUUUAUGUCUAUAUUCAACUAUAUGAUGAGGAAUCAACUAGAGAAGCAAAAUAAAUUCUAUUUUGAUACAGAGAGAGUAUUAUUUACUAUACACAUGAUGGUUGCAUCGACGCAGAGAAGAUUUUUAAAAUUGAAAUAUUUUUUGAACUAUUUAAGGUCAACAAUGACUUAAGAGAGGUUAAAUGGUUUGGCGAUUAUAUGUAUCUAAAAGAAGGUGUUGGAUGUGAUUAAUCUUAAUGGUAUAAGCGAUGAUUUGUAUCACAAAAUGUUAGAAGAUAUUUUUAAUAACAUCGGAUAACAAGUAUGUGUUUUUGAUAUAUUUUAUAUUUGUCAUCUUAUAAACUUGAAAAUAGUGCAUAAUAAUUUGUAUAUGUUGAAUAUUAUAUAUAUUGUGUGUGGAUAGGACCUCCAUUUCAGAUUUCGCACCAGGCCCUAAAAAAUCAGGAACGGCCCUGCUCCGGACGUGGUGGCUGUACCUUGAGAUGCAGCGGCACGCCAAGCUGUUGUCGUCCCGCUUCAUGCUCCACAUUAAGACAAAGUCGCCAUCGUCGUUACCA